GUACGGGAGGCAGCAGUGGGGAAUAUUGCGCAAUGGCCGAGAGGCUGACGCAGCGACGCCGCGUGUGGGAUGAAGCUCUUCGGGGUGUAAACCACUGUUGCCCGGGACGAAACUCCUGCUUUGGCGGGAUUGACGGUACCGGGUGAGGAAGCACCGGCUAACUCCGUGCCAGCAGCCGCGGUAAUACGGAGGGUGCGAGCGUUGUCCGGAAUCACUGGGCGUAAAGGGCGCGUAGGUGGCUCGUGAAGCGUGCGGUGAAAGUCCGAGGCUCAACCUCGGAUCGGCCGUGCGGACUCGCGGGCUCGAGCGUUGUAGAGGCGGGUGGAAUUCCGGGUGUAGCGGUGGAAUGCGUAGAGAUCCGGAAGAACACCGGUGGCGAAGGCGGCCCGCUGGGCAACUGCUGACACUGAGGCGCGACAGCGUGGGGAGCAAACAGGAUUAGAUACCCCGGU
rnacentral:rRNA from 1 species